UACGUAGGGGGCGAGCGUUGUCCGGAUUCAUUGGGCGUAAAGCGCGCGUAGGCGGCGCCGCAAGUCGGCCGUGAAAUCUCCAGGCUUAACCUGGAGGGGUCGGGCGAGACUGCGGUGCUCGAGGUGGGCAGAGGGCGGUGGAAUUCCGGGUGUAGUGGUGGAAUGCGUAGAGCUCCGGAGGAACACCAGUGGCGAAGGCGGCCGCCUGGGCCUGGCCUGACGCUGAGGCGCGAAAGCGUGGGGAGCGAUCCGG
rnacentral:rRNA from 1 species